GUCCACGCCCUAAACGAUGUCAACUGGUUGUUGGGUCUUCACUGACUCAGUAACGAAGCUAACGCGUGAAGUUGACCGCCUGGGGAGUACGGCCGCAAGGUUGAAACUCAAAGGAAUUGACGGGGACCCGGCACAAGCGGUGGAUGAUGUGGUUUAAUUCGAUGCAACGCGAAAACCUUAACCCACCUUUGUACAUGUACGGAAUCCUUUAGAGAUAGAGGAGUGCUCGAAAGAAGAGCCGUAACACAGGUGCUGCAUGGCUGUAGU
rnacentral:rRNA from 1 species